rnacentral:rRNA from 1 species
UGACAGGUGCUGCAUGGCUGUCGUCAGCUCGUGUCGUGAGAUGUUCGGUUAAGUCCGGCAACGAGCGCAACCCACAUCUUUAGUUGCCAGCAGGUUAAGCUGGGCACUCUAGAGAAACUGCCCGUGAUAAGCGGGAGGAAGGUGUGGAUGACGUCAAGUCCUCAUGGCCCUUACGGGUUGGGCUACACACGUGCUACAAUGGCAUCAACAAUGGGUUAAUCCCUAAAAGAUGUCUCAGUUCGGAUUGGGGUCUGCGACUCGACCCCAUGAAGUCGGAAUCGCUAGUAAUCGCGUAACAGCAUGACGCGGUGAAUACGUUCCCGGGUCUUGUACACACCG